rnacentral:rRNA from 1 species
AUUGAACGCUGGCGGCAGGCCUAACACAUGCAAGUCGAACGAGUGGCGGACGGGUGAGUAGUGUCUGGGAAACUGCCUGAUGGAGGGGGAUAACUACUGGAAACGGUAGCUAAUACCGCAUACCAUCGGAUCAGCCCAGAUGGGUUUAGCUAGUAGGGGGGGUACAGGCGCACCUAGGCGACGAUCCCUAGCGGGUCUGAGAGGAUGAGCAGCCACACUGGAACUGAGACACGGGCCAGACUCCUACGGGAGGCAGCAGUGGGGAAUAUUGCACAAUGGGCGAAAGCCUGAUGCAGCCAUGCCGCGUGUAUGAAGAAGGCCUUCGGGUUGUAAAGUACUUUCAGUGGGGAGGCGUUACCCGCAGAAGAAGCACCGGCUAACUCCGUGCCAGCAGCCGCGGUAAUAC